UGCCAGCCGCCGCGGUAAUACGGAGGAUCCAAGCGUUAUCCGGAAUCAUUGGGUUUAAAGGGUCCGCAGGCUGUUUUUUAAGUCAGAGGCGAAAUCCUACAGCUCAACUGUAGCAUUGCCUUUGAUACCGCCAGACCUGAGUUAUUGUGAAGUAGUUAGAAUGUGUAGUGUAGCGGUGAAAUGCAUAGAUAUUACACAGAAUACCGAUUGCGAAGGCAGAUUACUAACAAUAUACUGACGCUGAGGGACGAAAGCGUGGGUAGCGAACAGGAUUAGAUA
rnacentral:rRNA from 1 species